rnacentral:rRNA from 1 species
GACGAACGCUGGCGGCGCGCCUAACACAUGCAAGUCGAACGGAGUCACGAGGAGCUUGCUUUUCUUGACUUAGUGGCGAACGGGUGAGUAACGCGUGAGUAACCUGCCCUGGAGUGGGGGACAACAGUUGGAAACGACUGCUAAUACCGCAUAAGCCCACGGAUCUGCAUGGAUCUGCGGGAAAAGGAUUUAUUCGCUCUAGGAUGGACUCGCGUCCAAUUAGCUAGUUGGUGAGGUAACGGCCCACCAAGGCGACGAUUGGUAGCCGGACUGAGAGGUUGAACGGCCACAUUGGGACUGAGACACGGCCCAGACUCCUACGGGAGGCAGCAGUGGGGGAUAUUGCACAAUGGGGGAAACCCUGAUGCAGCGACGCCGCGUGGAGGAAGAAGGUUUUCGGAUUGUAAACUCCUGUCGUUAGGGAUGAUAAUGACGGUACCUAACAAGAAAGCACCGGCUAACUACGUG